rnacentral:lncRNA from 1 species
CCACGGGUAUCCCCGAACCCGUUGGGUAUGGGGAUGGAUAUCUCUUUUCUUAUCCGAUUGGGUAUCGGGUAGGGUUUGGGUAUAGGGUCUUAAGUUCGAAUUUGGGGAUGGGUAGUAUACUACCCGACCCAAACUCUACCCAUUGCCAUCCCUAAAUCCAGGGACCAAGAUCCAAGAAUUUGGAAGUCACAAAAGUAAUUGAAA